AGUCGAACGGCAGCGGGAAAGUAGCUUGCUACUUUUGCCGGCGAGUGGCGAACGGGUGAGUAAUGUAUCGGAACGUGCCCAGUAGCGGGGGAUAACUGGCCGAAAGGUCAGCUAAUACCGCAUACGCCCUACGGGGGAAAGGGGGGGAUUCUUCGGAACCUCUCACUAUUGGAGCGGCCGAUAUCGGAUUAGCUAGUUGGUGGGGUAAUGGCCUACCAAGGCGACGAUCCGUAGCUGGUUUGAGAGGACGACCAGCCACACUGGGACUGAGACACGGCCCAGACUCCUACGGGAGGCAGCAGUGGGGAAUUUUGGACAAUGGGGGAAACCCUGAUCCAGCCAUCCCGCGUGUGCGAUGAAGGCCUUCGGGUUGUAAAGCACUUUUGUCAGGGAAGAAAAGGUUCUGGCUAAUACCCGGAACUGAUGACGGUACCUGAAGAAUAAGCACCGGCUAACUACGUGCCAGCAGCCGCGGUAAUACGUAGGGUGCAAGCGUUAAUCGGAAUUACUGGGCGUAAAGCGUGCGCAGGCGGUUCGGAAAGAAGGAUGUGAAAUCCCAGGGCUCAACCUUGGAACUGCAUUCUUAACUACCGAACUAGAGUAUGUCAGAGGGGGGUAGAAUUCCGCGUGUAGCAGUGAAAUGCGUAGAUAUGCGGAGGAAUACCGAUGGCGAAGGCAGCCCCCUGGGAUAAUACUGACGCUCAUGCACGAAAGCGUGGGUAGCAAACAGGAUUAGAUACCCUGGUAGUCCACGCCCUAAACGAUGUCAACUAGCUGUUGGGCCCUUCGGGGCUUAGUAGCGUAGCUAACGCGUGAAGUUGACCGCCUGGGGAGUACGGUCGCAAGAUUAAAACUCAAAGGAUUUGACGGGGGACCCGCCCAGCGGUGGAUGAUGUGGAUUAUUUCGAUGCAACGCGAAAAACCUUACUACCCCUU
rnacentral:rRNA from 1 species